rnacentral:rRNA from 1 species
GGGCGUGCUCUUAUGAAGUUAGCGGCGGACGGGUGAGUAACACGUGGGUGGUAACCUGCCCAUAAGAAGCUGGGAUAACUCCGGGAAACCGGGGCUAAUACCGGAUAACAUUUUGAACCGCAUGGUUCGAAAUUGAAAGGCGGCUUCGGCUGUCACUUAUAGGAUGGACCCGCGUCGCAUUAGCUAGUUGGUGAGGUAACGGCGUUCACCAAGGCAACGAUGCGUAGCCGACCUGAGAGGGUGAUCGGCCACACUGGGACUGAGACACGGCCCAGACUAGUUCCUACGGGAGGCAGCAGUAGGGAAUCUUCCGCAAUGGACGAAAGUCUGACGGAGCAACGCCGCGUGAGUGAUGAAGGCUUUUCGGGUCGUAAAACUCUGUUGUUAGGGAAGAACAAGUGCUAGUUGAAUAAGCUGGCAGUUUCUUCUAAGUCUGAUGUGAAAGCCCAC